rnacentral:misc_RNA from 1 species
UGGCGACCCCCGCCAGGCCCG